rnacentral:misc_RNA from 1 species
GAAAUGCGAUAAGUAGUGUGAAUUGCAGAAUUCAGUGAAUCAUCGAAUCUUUGAACGCACAUUGCGCCCUUUGGUAUUCCUUAGGGCAUGCCUGUUCGAGCGUCAUCUAAACCUUCAAGCCCUGCUUGGUGUUGGGUGCCUGUCCCGCCUCCGCGCGCGGACUCACCUCAAAUCCAUUGGCGGCCCCCGCGUCGGCCACGAGCGCAGCAGAAACGCGAACUCGUGAGCCCGUCCGGGCGGCUCCCAGAAGCUACACCCACCCAGUUUGACCUCGGAUCAGGUAGAGAUACGCGCUGAACUUAAGC